rnacentral:lncRNA from 1 species
UUCUCUUUUUUGAAGUUUGCCCCAGUGUGAAAGUCCCUCUGUAAGUCAGAACCUUAGCAUUAUUUUAAUGUACUGUUCUGUAUUUAAUAAUCUCGGGCUUCAGACAUUAGUCUGUUACCAUGGGAAUGACAGCAGCACAAAUGCAGGAUUACGGCUAUCAAGCAGGAGAAAAGAAAUUAUGAAUAAGCCUCGUUACGUUCAAUAAUUAGCAGCUACAUGGAAAAAAACAAAUCCAUGAAUUUAGGUUGGUGCAUUUAUCUCAGUGUUUGAAUACAACUCCGAGUGUGUUAUUGCUUUAAAAUGAGAUUCUAACAAACUGCCAAAAAAUCCUUGACUAGCAGUUGCUACUCAGUGUUGUGAUUUUAAAAACUCAUCCUGUCCGUCCCUUACUUCUGUUUUAAUUCUUGCCCUGCAGAAGACUGGGAACCGGUGGGUAAUACACAACAUCCCAAGAUGGAUUCUGGUACCUCGAGCCAGCAUUUCUGGGGGAAAAGCACGACGAUACUGAACAUCACGGGCUCCUCUGCCUUAGUGAACUGCAAAAGGAACUGUUUCCAGGAAGACAGUGUUACCCUCUCCCACCAUAGAACGUCUCCGUGUCCAGAUGGUUGCCGUAGAAUGGUCCUGUUGAGCACAAGGCU